AUUAAAAUACGCAACCAACCGUCAUUGAACCGUCCAAUCAGAUCAAAGGAGUAAUCGUUGUAGAUCGUGCGUUAUCGAUGAUGUUCGGUACCUGGAGAAAAUUGACAAUUGACAAGAGAAUUAAUUGUUUAUUAUUUUUGACUUUUUAGUUCGUUUAAUUUAAUAAUUACUAAAACCAGUAGUUCGAAAGAUAUAUUUAAAAAUAAAAGAUAAAAAUCCAAAAAUUAAUUAUCUAUUAACGUGGAUUUGGACGACAAUAGGUUUUUAGUUUGUGAUGUUUCAUGUGAUGAUCAUUUUCAUGUUCAUCGUCUUUGAAUUGACAUGAGGAUAUCUAUGGAAAAGUAACUAAUCUGAAAGUAAGCCAACAUAUCGUUUGUCCUUUGUGUGCUAAAGAAAAGAUUUUCUUUUCGCAUCGUGAGGAAGUAUUACAUCAAUUAAAAAAUGUUAGGAAGUUGAUUACUUGUCAUGGAAAAGUAUACCAAUGGAAAUUAUUUGUUAAAGAAGUAUAAUUCUAAGGGUUUUAAGAAUAAAUUGGUUGAACCCAAAAUCUGGAGGAAGUACCUAUAUCCAUACACAGAAUAUGCCCAUUAAGAAUACUAGUCCAAAUUUGCUUUAAUGGAACGAUUAGGGCCCGAUAUAUUUGAAACUCAUGUUGGACAUAGUAUUGAGUUGGGUAGAAUAUUAUUCUACGUUAAGUGAGGAUAUCAGAUACCUAUUAUUGUACUGUAUUUUAAUAUAUACAUUAGAAUUGUUGGUUUUUU
rnacentral:lncRNA from 1 species